rnacentral:rRNA from 1 species
UACAGAGGUCUCAAGCGUUGUUCGGAUUCACUGGGCGUAAAGGGCGUGUAGGCGGUCAGGUAAGUGGGAUGUGAAAUGCCCCGGCUCACCCGGGGACCGGCAUCCCAUACUGCUUGGCUUGAGUACGGGAGAGGAUGUGGGAAUUCCUGGUGUAGCGGUGAAAUGCGUAGAUAUCAGGAGGAACACCGGUGGCGAAGGCGCACAUCUGGCCCGAUACUGACGCUGAGGCGCGAAAGCUAGGGGAGCAAACGGG